rnacentral:rRNA from 1 species
AGAGCGAACGCUGGCGGCAGGCUUAACACAUGCAAGUCGAGCGGGCGUAGCAAUACGUCAGCGGCAGACGGGUGAGUAACGCGUGGGAACGUACCUUUUGGUUCGGAACAACCCAGGGAAACUUGGGCUAAUACCGGAUAAGCCCUUACGGGGAAAGAUUUAUCGCCGAAAGAUCGGCCCGCGUCUGAUUAGCUAGUUGGUGAGGUAAUGGCUCACCAAGGCGACGAUCAGUAGCUGGUCUGAGAGGAUGAUCAGCCACAUUGGGACUGAGACACGGCCCAAAACUCCUACGGGAGGCAGCAGUGGGGAAUAUUGGACAAUGGGCGCAAGCCUGAUCCAGCCAUGCCGCGUGAGUGAUGAAGGCCCUAGGGUUGUAAAGCUCUUUUGUGCGGGAAGAUAAUGACGGUACCGCAAGAAUAAGCCCGGCUAACUUCGUGCCAGCAGCCGC